rnacentral:ncRNA from 1 species
GCGGCGUCCGAUUCUGGGCGUCGGCGGACGAGGGAGCAGUACCCGCCAGGACAAGACUGACUCGCA